CUACCACUUGUUGCAGUGUCCUUUCCAUUUUCUCCCAUUUCCUUCAUUUUCUUCCCUCCACUUUUCAUAUUUCCCUUCUACUUUCCUUCCCCUUUUCUUCACAUUUCCACCUACCUUUUCUUUUCAAACAAAAAAACUAUCACAAAAUCUUACAAAACAAAAAAUUUUAUUUGUUGGUGACCGAUUUAUCCAUAAAUAUACUGAUACAUAUAUAUAUAUACUGUAUCCGGAGUCUCGAAUUGGAAUCAAUUAAAAGGCGGAGAAGUUCAUCAUUGCAACGAUGGAUUUUAAGUUUUCA
rnacentral:lncRNA from 1 species